AUGAAUUUACGAGUAAAAUGUGCGCUCGUUUCUGCUUCGUUUUCUUUACGAGUACACCACCAUGUUUCCUCCAAAUAUCCGCCGAAAGGCACUAGUUUCGGCUUAAAGGCAGGGCAAACCAUACAAGUUGGUGAUUUAAUGAAGCUUUCGUCAAAACAGUUUAUUUCCACAAUUUGGGAUUCCCUAAAUGUGCCGUUUACAUAUGGGGAAGGUAGCAAAAUUCUGAUUAGGCUUGGAGGAAACAUGGUGGUGUUAGGUUGCAGCUGGGCAAGGCGGAAAUCCAGCCGCAGGAGAAAGAAAGAAGGAAAAGAAAGGAGGGAGAUAGGUUUUGCAGUUGCAAAGCAGAGACUGAGGGAUUGGCGGAGUCGGUUGGUUUAAUAUGAGGAGACGGUGAUGGUGGGUUAGAGUACUUCAGACGACAAUGGACCUGACACCGAGCUUGAACGCAACGACUCUGACCUCAACGAUCCUCUCUGGAGCGCCUAAUGCUUCCUCACUUCUGCUCACCUCAUUCGCACGCGUAGCAUAAUCUUGAACUCCUUUUGGAAGGAAGUCAAAACCAACUACUGUUUACAAGCAUUUCCCAAUUGCUUGAAAUUGCUUUGAAUCAGGUUCUUCCAUGGAUGUCUCUGACCUUUCAAUUUCCUAGCAUCACUUCGUAUCUCAACCUACGUUCUGCUAAGUUUUCAGCAAAUGGGUCUCGUUGGAAGCUGUUCUAGUUCAAUAACUUGGUGAUUUGUGUUGGGGAAGAUAUUUUCUUUUUUUUCAAUCUUUGGUGAUUUGUGUGGUUUGAUAGUAUUUGUUCUUUUUGUUUUUUUUUUUUAGUAUAGUGAUUUGGGAAACCUCUUCUUUUCAAAUUAAUAUAUUUUGCUUUGUUUCAUCUUGCAGGUGCAGCUGAGACCUUAUAACCCAUAUGUUAUUUAUGAGUCUCUAGUGUGGACUAAGAGUGCGGGCAUAGGUGGCGGUUUCAGAACUGUUGGGAUGGUUAAUAACGUUCACUUGGAUUGUCUGCCCUCUAAUUUUGGAGGGCACGGGGAGGGCACCGAAAUGGGAGGGCAGACAAUCCAAGUCCUCACUUUAAUCUGGAUGAUUUUCAUGGUAACAAGAAAUCUGGGGGUGUUCAUGAUGGCACUACCAUAGUCCUGUGAAAUAAAAUAAAAGGAGAUAA
rnacentral:sRNA from 1 species